GUGCUCACUUCGGCAGCAUACAUACUAAAAUUGGAACGAUACAGAGAUGAUUAGCAUGGCCCUUGCACAAGGAUGACAUGCAAAUUCAUGAAGCAUUCCAUAUUUUU
ensembl:snRNA U6 U6 spliceosomal RNA